rnacentral:rRNA from 1 species
GAUGAACGCUAGCGGCGGGCCUAAUACAUGCAAGUUGAACGAGAUUGUUGGUAGCAAUACUGACAUGAAAGUGGCGCACGGGUGCGUAACACGUAUGUAACCUACCUUUAACUGGGGCAUAGCUUCGAGAAAUCGAAAUUAAUACCCCAUAACAUUUAGAAAAGGCAUCUUUUCUUUAUCAAAGUUCCGGCGGUUAAAGAUGGACAUGCGGUGCAUUAGCUUGUUGGUGAGGUAACGGCUCACCAAGGCUACGAUGCAUAGGGGGUCUGAGAGGAUGAUCCCCCACACUGGUACUGAGACACGGACCAGACUCCUACGGGAGCAGCAGUAGGGAAUAUUGGGCAAUGGACAAAGUCUGACCCAGCCACGCCGCGUGAAGGAUGACUGCCCUAUGGGUUGUAAACUUCUUUUGUAUGGGAAGAAAUUCCGAACGUGUUCGGAGCUGACGGUACCAUAAGAAUAAGCAUCGGCUAACUCCGUGCCAGCAG